AUUGAACGCUGGCGGCAGGCUUAACACAUGCAAGUCGAGCGAGCGGCGGACGGGUGAGUAAUGUCUGGGAAACUGCCUGAUGGAGGGGGAUAACUACUGGAAACUGUAGCUAAUAACGAAUACCAUAAGAUGUGCCCAGAUGGGAUUAGCUAGUAGGUGGGGUAAUGGCUCACCUAGGCGACGAUCCCUAGCUGGUCUGAGAGGAUGACCAUCCACACUGGAACUGAGACACGGUCCAGACUCCUACGGGAGGCAGCAGUGGGUAAUAUUGCACAAUGGGCGCAAGCCUGAUGCAGCCAUGCCGCGUGUGUGAAGAAGGCCUACGGGUUGUAAAGCACUUUCAGCGGGGAGGCGUUACUCACAGAAGAAGCACCGGCUAACUCCGUGACAGCAGCCGCGGUAAUAC
rnacentral:rRNA from 1 species